CCUACGGGAGGCAGCAGUGGGGGAUAUUGCACAAUGGGGGGAACCCUGAUGCAGCGACGCCGCGUGGGUGAAGAAGCGCCUCGGCGCGUAAAGCCCUGUCAGCAGGGAAGAAAAUGACGGUACCUGAAGAAGAAGCCCCGGCAAACUACGUGCCAGCAGCCGCGGUAAUACGGAGGGGGCAAGCGUUAUCCGGAUUUACUGGGUGUAAGGGGGGCGCAGACGGCGAUGCAAGCCAGGAGUGAAAGCCCGGGGCCCAACCCCGGGACUGCUCUUGGAACUGCGUGGCUGGAGUGCAGGAGGGGCAGGCGGAAUUCCUGGUGUAGCGGUGAAAUGCGUAGAUAUCAGGAGGAACACCGGUGGCGAAGGCGGCCUGCUGGACUGCAACUGACGUUGAGGCCCGAAAGCGUGGGGAGCAAACAGGAUUAGAUACCCCUGUAUC
rnacentral:rRNA from 1 species